UCUUAGAAGUACAACUGCACACAAUGCAGGCUGGGACAAGGAGAAGCAAACAUCUGCUCUUAUCUUAGAGGGCAUGCCUGCCAAUGAGAAGGCUUGAUAAUGAAUCAUGUUUGUUCUUUCUUGAGCUGUAACUCCUGGAAAUAAGAAACCUAGCCAAAUUUUUGCCAGAAGGUGCUGCCUCUGAGGGGACUGUCCCUUAAGAGAGAGUCCUCGGGAUGUCUGCAGAUACACCUGUCAUUGGAGGGGUCAGAUCGUUUCCAGCAGGCUGGAUGUACCUGAGCAUCCUUUGGCUUGUAACAUGGGUUCCCUGUAGACUCUCAAUGAAACACAAGUCCUGCUGUGAUUUUUUUCUCAGUUUUUGCCUGCCAGAAGCGGGCAUGUUCAUCACACAGGCAAGUACAGAGCAGGUUGGAUUUAAUACAAGCACACAGGCUGUGCUGCCUGUGACCAUCCCUGGGUUUCCUACAGAGGCUUUGUAGAGCUGUUUUGGCAAGCCAGAGACUAAGAGACAAGAGGAAGAGAGUGGGGGCGGCCAAAGCAAUGAGAGAUGGCUCUGAUUUACAAUUGCUCUCCUCCUUCAACACCCACUCUGCACAGGUCCCCAGGAGGGCAGUGAAAAUUUGCUUCCUGCCUCUUCUGCUGCUGGUGCGUGGAGGAAUACUGGAGGGGACACAGCGAGCCGUGCUGAGGGGAAGCCAGGCAGAGCUCAGCUGCUUCCUGGUGGCCAUCAGCAGGAUAAGGGAGCCAUGGUGACUCAGAUGAUACCAUGCAGCAGGUUGAGGCUGGGACAGUGCCAUCAGAAGCCGUGUUUCCUUGAGAAAGCAACGGUCUGACUGUGAGCGUUGUUUGGUGAGCUCACGGAGAGUUGGGAUUGGCCAGGAACUGGGUCAGGAUGAAGCAGGAUGAAGCAAACAAAACCUGAAGUCCUUGAGUGAGGCUCCCCACCGAGCCCAUGCUGAUGCUCUCACACUCUUCCCUGCCACGGCACCCUCCAGCCAGGUUCUCAGCAGCCACAGCUCUGUGCCAGGGCCAGCGUCUGCGAGCUGGAUAUGCCUGCAACCCCAACUUGCUCCAGAGGGAAGCAGCAGUGAAGGAUUUCAGUCUCUUUACAACUACUUGAAAGGACAUUGCAGAGAGGUUGGUGCUGGUCUCUUCUCACAGGCAGCAUGGGGCAGGCAGCAGUCCUGGGUGUUUUUUCCUUCCACCCUGUGUGUUGACUGGUCCAUCCUUCAGCCAUUUGCAGCAAUUUCUGUGAGGAAGGACCAUGACGGUGGCACACUUCAGCUGCAGACCACUGCCCAUGGUAUCAAAUAUCGGUGAAGCUGUGUUUUCCCCAGUGAGGAUGCUCUUGAAGGCAGUGAAGUUUCCCCAGGAGUGAUGGGGGCUGCUGCGAAGGAUGGAAUGCUUUUCACCUGUUCAGGAGAUAGCUUUGUGCAAUGCUUCUCCUGCAGCUUCUGCCUGUCUCCCAGUGGAGAUGCCUUCACACCUUCGUCCCAUGGCAGCUGCAGCUCCAUCCAGUCCCGAAGCACUGCACUGUAGCCAGCAAUGGAGGCUGCAGCCAGCCAUAAAGCUCAUCCCUGUGGUUGAAAAGGGGAGUUUUGAGCACCCAGUGUACCAAAGAUGCAUGAGCACCUGCUUGUGCUGGGCGAGAAGGAAGGAAUGCUGGGAGUCGCCUUCCCACAAGCACAGAGGCCUCCUUAAUUGUGCUCCCUGUGAUUAAAUAACUCUUUGAAGACAUCACUAGAAGUUAUUUCUUCCACGUGGGAAUGCCGCUUGUCAGAAGAUGCUUGAGGGAAGGGAAACAGAAUUGUUGUCCCCUUCACUGCCAUGUGGCUGUGUCCAACCUGAGAGCGCAGGAUAACUCUGAUGUGCCCCUGAUGGGGUUGAUGCUUGAUGAGAAUACCCACAGCCGAGCUCUGAACCAGCAGACUGGAAUGGAUAAAUAAGAACUACUGCCGAAGCUUGUGGCCAGACCCCUGGAUCUUCUGUCCCGGAGUUGGCGCAGAGGGUCCUGUGCAGACCCUGGUGCAACACUGCUGAACCUGGGAGCGGGGACCUGCCCCACACCCCUGAAUGGAGAGCUCUGUCCCCAUCCUCCAGCUUUCUGCAUGCCCCUUCCUGGCAGCCCUUAACCUCUCAUGGGGAAUUUCUAACGGAGUCCACCUGAAUGAAACCCAGACCACAAUGUGGUCUGUUGACCAGAGCUGCGAAAGCUGUCCGCGAAGGCUGUCCUCUCCCGUGACCUCGAUCACGACACCAGAAAAAACUCCAGCCCUGCAGAAAUCGACACACCAAGCUCCAAAGUCUGCAAAAACUUGAGUUUUAAACUAUUUUUUUUUCCACUUUCUAGAACCGAUUCCCCCUGUAUGGGUGCUGCCAGCUCAGCAACGCACAAAGGAAUCGCUGCUGCAAACUGCCUUGUGCACACACCCUGAGGCCCGCCAGCCAAGACAGGUACCUGCCCUUUCCCAGCCUCCUUUCCCAGCGUGUUUGCUCUGUUCCUGGUCUGGCAGGGAGGCUGUGUGGAAAAACCAGUGUGGGUUCCCUCGGGACUGCUUGCAAUCAGCCUCCAGUGCCGUUACCUGUGUAUCACGCAGCCCCAUAAUUUAACGAGUGCCCCCAGGGCAGGCAGGUUAUGAAAGAAGCCCCAUUAGCGUGCCCCUUGCUGCCUCCCUGACGUCAAUGUGACGCAGUGCGACCAGGGGAGAACACAGACCAAGGUACAAAAUGCUGGGGAGUGCAGGGCUUUUGGGUGCAACCGGAACAAUAAAAGAAUGAAGGGGUGGAGCAAGUGGCAAUAAGAGAUGAACGGAGAUUGUCUUAUCACCCAGAGCUGGCAGCUGGAGUCGAUUUCCCCUCCUGAGUGCAGACUCUGCAGGUGUGGAUGAUGUUCUCCCAUUGCUCGGCUCCUGCAGAUCCUGCCCUCGCCAUGGGCACCAGGGUGGCAGCAGCAGAGAGGGGGCUGGGCAGAGGACAGCGGGCAGGUGCCAUGCCAGAUCUUGAGCUUGCCUCACUCAGAUGUCAUGGCAUGUGGAUUUUAAACCAUGUCGUGUGUUUAAAAUGGAACAAUGUCAUGCCAGGAUGCCCAGGAGCUUUAAUUUUACACCUAGGUUUUGAACAGGCUUUAACAAUAUUGGUUGGAGAAUAACUUCAGUAAAGAGCAAGAGCAUCUGCAUCCAUGGGAAGCUGCUCAUGCGGCUGCAUCUGUCCUGUGAACUCAGGGAAAGAAACUUGAUCCGCACAAUCUCUGCGACAGCAACCGAGUAGCAGGUACACUAGAGAUUGCUCUGCUUGAACUGUAGCGUGGCAGACUGCACCAUGCAUUUCGUGCUGCGGAAAAUUGCAUGUUCGCCCAAAACUCUGCUAUAUUUGCUGGGCCACCUCCAUCAGUUUUGUCGGAAAGAAAGGAGUGAGCAAGAGCACUUCUGCUCCUCUGCUUGCAGGGCAGACCCUGCAGCGGGGACCCAUGCAGGCUGAAAGAGCAGAAGGCUCUUUCAAAAUGCACAUGAACCCAAGUCUUACUUCUGAAUCUUUAAAGUCUUAGUUCUGUACUUUUUAACACAGUCUCCUGGGGUUCUUUUUUUGUUUGUUUGUUUUGUUUUGUUUUUUUUUUUCUUGGAGCUCACAGCAAUUGCUGAAUGCAGGUGACACUGGGGACAUGGGCUAGAAGCAAUCCUUUCACUGUCCUGACCAACCUGACUUUGGCUGGACAUUGCCAGCGCUCAGCUGGGUGACUCUUGGGAAGCCCCCAGGGUCACAGACAUGAGCUGGAGGUUGUGACCAGACACCCAGUGAGCACCAGGUGGUGGAGAUGGAGAGAAUGGGAGCCAGUAAGGGGAGAGGGAGAGGCAGCCUCGCAAAGCACGGUGGCAGUGUAAGGCAGCUGGAAUGUUCUUGUUGCUUGUGUUUGGGAAUAUCAGGUCCAUGUGUCUGGAGCGAGUCAGACACAGUGAUGGCAUCUCGCCCUUUUGCUCCGUCUAUCCCUCAGUGUCCCACUGAACCAGGUGUUGUUGGACACAAGCAAUGUUCCCUCUAAACAUGAGGGCACAUUGCAGCCCCACUCCUGACACUGCUCUGCAGCAUCAAGGGAAGGAUGCAGUUUCAAAACACAGGACUUCGAGCCUUGAGCCCAUGGAAGAUAAGCAGCAGCUCCAUAAGCUCUCCACACCCUGCCAGGUAUGAGGCCACCCUGCCAUCUGGCACUGCUCCUGGUUCAGUGCCUGGGAAAUAGAUAAGAGGCUCAACAUGGGAGCAGGACCAUUGCACAUUCCUCCUUUCUGGAAGCGCUGAAGGAACCCAUCAAAGAAUGGUGGGAGAGGAAUGGAGCACACCGAGGUGGUCAUGGUGGGACCAGGCUUGCAGUGCUUGGCUGGUCUGUCCCACCCUGUUGGGAGGGAGAGCAUUUGAGGCUCUCCAAAGGAGCGGGGUGCCAGGCAGUCUCCCUGGCAGCUUGCAGGCUGCCCUGCCAGCCUUGCACGACCAGUUUCCAAGCCUACCGUGUCUUUCAGCAAGACGUGCAGUUUCACCACCUGCUCAUUCAGGCCUCUGGCUGCCACGUUACCUAUUUGUCGACGCACUUGUUUGGCUUUCUGAAAUGUGCCCGUCCAGCUCUUUUGGCAUCCAACAUGCUGCUGCCUGCCUCGUGCACUCUCCUGAUUUAGGUUCCUCCUUGGAAGGCAUCCACAUCACCAGCUAUUUUUGGAACAGAGGCAUCUAUUGUCUUGUGCCGUUCCCCACUGGGUUCAACUCACAGCUCCCCAGGGUCCCCUUCUCCCAGUAUCCUUUCCCGUCCCUUAGUGUGACUUCUGCAUGCCCCAGAGCAUCUCCACUAUGUAGCGCUGAUAGAGCCCCAUGAGGCAGGGCAGAGCCCUUCCCACCAUUUUGUGGAUGCCCUGAGCCUGCAACUGCCCCGUGAGCUGUCAAGGGGGUCCAGGAGCAGGGUGGAGCGGAGGUGUGUGGGGUUUCCACCUCCAGUGGUGGGUUUCUGCAGUCUGGCAUGAUCCUGCCAUGAGGCCCUGCCAAGAAGACAGCAAGCCAAUCUGCACCAUGGGAUGUCUAGUGGAGGAUCAGGUCCCCUGUCUCUCCAGGCUGAAGUCAGGUAUGGACCUGAGUGGCAAGGUCUCCAAACAGGAUGGGUGGGAGCUGGAUUUUGGGGUGAGCCCCUGAAUUAGGCAAUAUAUAUAGAGAGAUUGUGGGCAGGCUUGAUGCUCUUGUAGAUUGUGUGUUGGACACACAGUCCUUGUGCUGUCCUUCUCCCUUGCCACAACCUUCACAGCUGGGCUGAAUUUUGCAGCCAUGGUGCCCAUAGCAAGAAAGCUGAGCUGCUGCUUCCCCAGCUCAGGACAUCUGAUACACCUUUAACCAAAAGUUACACCUCUCUGAUUUCCUCUGCGAUGUUGUGUUCCCUUUGCUGCCAAUUUUUUUGUGCCUCUUCCAGAAAGCUAGUCAACAAUUUCCAACUGUGUCAGUUUGGAGAAGAUAGAAGGGGGGUGGGGUGGGAAGGAGAGAUGGGACGGAGCUAUUUUAGUCUAAGUCCAUCUGUGUUGAUAAUUCUCCCUCCAGCACCAAUCAUUACCGGAGCAGGAUUUGCGGGGUGGCCUGACCAAGAAAAUACCUUGCAUGCUUUGCAACCACUGCGGUCUCUGCAUGCCCGUGCAUCUCUGCUUGCAUCGUGGUGGGUCAGCUCGUGCUUCAGCAGAGCCACCAGUGGAGCUGCAAAUGCAGACACCGCUCCACAGAAAGGGGAACAAGCAGCACCAGCAGCUCCUUCCCACCGCACAUUCCUCUCCCUGCAGUCAGCUCCACAUCUCAGGAACAGCGAUUUCGGCAGUGAUGGCCGCUCAGCAUGUUAGAAAAGUUUCAUGCAAUCUGUUUACUUUUGGACAUAUGCUGUGUUCAUGCUGCCUGGAGUCUUGCCGCCUCUAACAACUUUGGGUGUAAUUUUCUCCAUUUUGGUGCCUGGGGCACUGGUCGACACCUGUGGAAAUAGGCCUCCAAGGGGGUGCAAAAUGCCUUUGCUCCUCUGCUGUAACUCCUUUACUGCCGCUACAAAAAAUGGCACAUGUUGCCCCUGAGGCAUGGGUCCUACAAGGGAAAUCAGAGGAGGGAGACAGGAGGAGACAGGACCACGCUGCACUCCAUCACCGUGAGAAGCUUGAGGGAGCCUGAGGUAGCUGUAUCGGUGUGCGUCUGCAUGCAUGCGUGUGUGUGGAGAUCUAUACUGGUAGAUAUGUAUGUUUUAAACUGAAAGAGGGUAGAUUUAGAUUAGAUAUUAGGAAGAAAUUUUUCACUAUGAGGUUGGUGAGGCACUGGAACAGGUUGCCCAGAGAAGCUGUGGCUGCCCCAUCCCUGGAGGGGUUCAAGGCCAGGCUGGAUGGGGCUUUGAGCAACCUGCUCUGGUGGGAGGUGUCCCUGCCCAGGGCAGGGGGCUGGAACUAGAUGAUCUUUAAGGUCCCUUCUAACUCAAACCAUUCUGUGAUUCUAUAUAUACGUCUCUCAGAGACUGAAUAGUGCUGCCAAGGAUGAAAUCUCUAACCUCAGUCUUGGGGAUGCCGAGCAUGCCAGCUUUGCUGUGCCUGGAAGUCACCCGGGUGGAUGGGAAGUGUGCAUUUAAUGCAUAGCAUCUCUUCCUGCAGAAGAAGAGCUCAGCAUCCUGGUUUACUUUUCCCAUUUUCCUCACUUUCUGAGUGCUGUUCCAGAAUAAUGCUCCGAGGGGAGUGCUCGAAGCCCCCAGCUGUGUGCCAUGGUAUCCUGCUGUACGCACCCAGCUCACCAGCUUUGCUGCAACCCAGUUUGCACCAAAAGAAACAAUUAGAAAAAAAAUAAUAAUUAAAAAAGAGCCCUGUUUUGGAUCGAGGAUAAUCAGGUUUUUUUUUCAGCAUGAGUGAAGCCGGUGGAACAGUGCCCUUCCAGCACCGUUUCUGAUCUCAGGUGAGGAGUUUGGGCCGUGAUGUACUCUGUGAGGCAGGUAAAGCUGCCUCCCACAGCGCUGGCUUUUCAAUGUAGAUAUUAGAGUAUAUUUGCAAUGUAAAUUAAUAAGUGCCAUCUGCUUACCUCUGAUGUUAUGAGAAUGUUGUCUUGUGACUGGCUACAAACAAGACAACAUUGAAGAGGUAACACCUGCUGGUACAUAUUACCGCAAUUUAUUUUCAAACAUUAGAAGAUUAUUUUGGAUGGGAGAAAUAGGUAUAAUCUCCUCUUACUAUGUAUUAAGUGCUAAUGAGAGGCACGUGUGCGGAUUGCCAGAUGACAUCUUCGAGGAAUAAGCAGUAAGGAUGGAGUAACCUGCAUCCACACGCAAAGGGACCUCAAGAAGGAGUCCCUACUCCUGCAGCUUGUCUGUGGCUUGGCCCCUGACCGACGGAGACUUAAGGGGAUGUUUAGCUGGUGAAAAGUUGCUGCUUGUCAAAUGUAAUGCUCGCUGCAGGAAUAUAUUGAUUUCAGGCAAAAGGGCUCUAGAGGUAAAAAAGAGAAACAUUUGUCAAAACGCCCCAUUUUAGCCGUUGGGGAUGGAAGGGUCUGAAUUUUCAUUUCAAAAUCACAGCCUACUUUUGAAAUGGAAAUUAUCCUAAUGCUGAGGAUGAACUCUUUCCAGUUUUAGCAAAAUAAAAUAUUUCAUUUGACCCCAGAUACACUUUUCCCCGGUUUUCCCAGAAUAGGAAUAAAAUCUAAAGAAAUGGAUAGUACAUAAAAAACUGGGAUCCUUGCAGGCUACCAGCUCUCGUUUCCACUCAGAUGUUCCCGAGCUGACACCCAGCCUCCAGCCAUACCUCUUUAUUUUUCUCAUCCCCUUAUUUUCCUGUGGAUUGGCAGCACCGCAGGGCAGGGACUCACAAGCCUGGGCUUUAAUAUCUGACAGCACGCGGGUUAUGAAUUCCAGUGUGGCUAUAUAGGUAUUUAUGUAGGUAAUUGUUAUGUUGGUGACUAGCUUUUAUUUUAUGCUGCCUGAAGCAUCUGGCGGUGAAGGGGCGGGAGCGUGGUGCCACUGUGUCCACUCGGCAAAAGCUCUGUUGUUAGAGGGAUGGCAACUGGACCUGUCUUACUAGGGAGUAGGCAAUGCCGAUUUUCCUGAUUUUUCUGCAGCCUGCAUUGAGCUGAGUGUGCAGGAUGGGGGCUUCCCCCAGCCCAGAGCAAGGAUGCUUUGGGGGUAGACCUCUUGCCCAAACCUGUGGAGAUGGAGGAGCUCCUGAUGAGCUUGAGCAGGGGAAAGGAGAAGCCAGGUGGGAUUUUACAGAGGAGAAAGCUUUUCUAGCAAAGGGGCAAGGUGAGAAAAGGAGGAACUGGCUGCAGAAGGGCCGGGGACUCUGCUGGGCAGGUCUCGGGCUGCCAGAGCAAACCGGAGAUGCGAAACGGAAAUAUUCAUGAUGCUAGCCAAAGAAAGGAAUGAAUGGGUUUGGCGAUACUCCACAGAGCUGGGGGGCACAUCAGCUCCUGCCAGGAGGCCAAGGCAGGGAUAAGUGCCUUGUCCUAAGGAGUAAGAGUUAUGAUCUCUAUGUAAGAGGUUCAUUAUGACCCUGAUGAGAAGGGGUUUGGAGCCUGGAGCAGUCUCCAGGCCCAUCCUUGGCGAGGACAGGGGAGCCUGAGCAAGCACAAGCAACCUCAGAAAUAUUUCUCCUGGGACAAGUUAUUUUUGAGAGGCUCAUUAUCAACAUUGUGAGGCAAACCUGGCAGCUCCCUUUCCUCUGCUGCCGACCUGCAGGGAGCAGUUUUAACACGGUGCACCCAGGGGUGCAAUGCACGGCCAGGCCCUUCUUACCCUGGGUGCAGGGUGGACCACAGCUGUCCCUCGCUCGGUAGCGGGACAAAACCAGCGGACUGAGGUACCAGCAGUGCAGGUAAGUUGUGUGGAAGCAUUUUCCUGCAUUGCGUGUAACUGAACCGCUGGAGUCCCAGCUGUGUGGGGGUGGCGGCUCAGAAGCAUUAACUGGAGCAGACCUCUCAUGGAAGACAAUUGCACGAGUCAUUUAAGCUAGAGGAGUAAAGAAUUGCUUUCUGUUACUGGAGGGCCAGAUUUUAAUGCUUAUUCUUCGUUUUAAGAAAGAUUUUUACAAUGAAAAGGCACCGAUGGAAUUUUUACCCCAUCUGACUGACUUCUGUGUCAUUUUAAGCACAGGGGCAAUGGUAGGCUGGCAUGGGGAUACCCUUCAGUGUGGGUAGGUACUGUUGCUUUCACCAAGAUUUUGGGUCAAAGCAGGGAAGGCUGGGGUCUGGAGCAUCACCAGGGUGCUCACGGUUGCCAUCUUGGCUGUGUUUGAAGCACCUUUGUCUCCUGGACGUCUUUCACUGCUGCCGCGUCCCACCCAUGGCCCGUGCUGGAGAAGGUGGGGAAUGUCAGGGCCAAAUUCGUUAGAUAAAGCUUUUCCCACAUUUUUCCACUGUGCUUCUUCCUCAGUUUGAAACUCCCAGUCCUUUAAAUUAUCCUGGUGAUGUUCAGCUGCCUCUUUGCCCCUUGGCCUCUUUCCAUCCCUCCCAAUUCCCUCCCCAAAAUCUGGGGUGAUGCAUUCAAGCCUUAAUGAAAUGUGUGACUCAGGCCCACUGGCUGUUACGCGUGGCACCUGGCCCAGUGCAGAAAUGCCACUGCGGGUGUUUGCACUGGAAAUCGGGGACCUAGGAGGGAGAGGGGUGUCGGUGUCAGCCGCGGGGCACUGCUGCCUCGUCACUGGCACAGCCCCGCGACAUGGGACAUUUUGAAAUUGCUGCUG